AUACGUAGGGUGCAAGCGUUAAUCGGAAUUACUGGGCGUAAAGCGUGCGCAGGCGGGUUUGUAAGACAGUGGUGAAAUCCCCGGGCUCAACCUGGGAACUGCCAUUGUGACUGCAAGGCUGGAGGGCGGCAGAGGGGGAUGGAAUUCCGCGUGUAGCAGUGAAAUGCGUAGAUAUGCGGAGGAACACCGAUGGCGAAGGCAAUCCCCUGGGCCUGCACUGACGCUCAUGCACGAAAGCGUGGGGAGCAAACAGGAUUAGAUACCCUGGUAGUCCACGCCCUAAACGAUGUCAACUGGUUGUUGGGGAUUUAUUUUCUCAGUAACGAAGCUAACGCGUGAAGUUGACCGCCUGGGGAGUACGGCCGCAAGGUUAAAACUCAAAUGAAUUGACGGGG
rnacentral:rRNA from 1 species